rnacentral:SRP_RNA from 1 species
GGUUAGAGCCCAAAUUGUGAUUGCCUGCGAACUCCGCCAGGGCUGGAAAGCAGCAACGGUAGUAGACCAAUCAGGUUUUUGGGAUUUCUAAUCAUC